rnacentral:lncRNA from 1 species
CCUAAGUGGCCCAAACCACUUACACGGCGAUUUUACAUGUAAAUGUCAUCGGCAGAAAACGGAAAUAAUUGCAAAGCAAUAGCUAAAGUCAGUGAAGAUCUUUAGGUGUGAAGCGGCAGCUGCCUCCCCCCUGGCUGGCUCCUCCGCAGGGCUCUGCAGUCACACGUUUCCACAUAUGACGCUGUCAUCCGUUGACAUGGAAACCACUGAUAUCACCCGGCUCACGACUGAACUGAGACAUAUCAAUGGCAUCCAGAUGGCAAGGGACAAAGUUUUAAUCCAAACACAGACAUCUUCAGCAAUUAGUAACAAGAGCAAGAGGAAACAACCCUUAUUAAGCACCAGCUAAACAGAUUUUUGAUUAACCGUCUCCAUUGCUGUCAGCCAUGCAAAUGGGCACGGGUCCACGGGCCCGGGGCCCUGAAGCAAGUAGGCCAGUCUCAAGAAACCAGGUGACCAGCCAGCCAGGAUCUUAAUAAAAUCGGAGAACACAGUCCCGCUUCUUCAGCCUGACACCAACAGAUGGGACGUUGUUAAAUGUCGAGACGUGUGGGGAGGCCUCCAAGACAUGGUGUUGCAGCCUGAUAACUUCUGUGUGUGCAUGCUUCAAAAUUUAUUACUGAGGCUGGGUUCUAUUUU